GGGAAGAGACAACCCAACUUUCUGUCUCUAUCAUUGGUUGGGUGUGGUUCCUUUGAGCUCUUAAUUUUCCACACCCUUUCUGAUUUUUUCCUUCUGAACUCCUCCUUUUUAAGAUUCACCUCAGACAGCACAUCCAAAGUUCCUGGAGUCAACUCCAUCAGAAUUCUCAGAAUCUCGCUUCUCUUCCAUCUCUCUGUCAUGUAUCAUGGUUUCCCUCCAUUCUUUCAUUGCCUGCAUGUGUGUUGCUGUUUCUGCCUCUCAGUUUCCCACUUCUGUAAGCUUUCACACCGCCACACUGCAUUCUCCUGUGGAGAAGCACUGGGAUUCCCCUGACAGCCAGAAGAUGCAUUUGCCAGCAGCGGUCAAGCACACCUCCCAGGAUUCUGCUUUUGCAGGCCAAGGUCACUCUUCGCCAGAAGCAAGAUCAGAGGUAAAUCCUUCUAUUUUUCUUUUGUCAUCACAGUUCAUCUUGAUGUCUUAGAAAUGAUACUAAUGAUUCUUUAUUCUAAGCCUGAACACGAAGGUGAAAGAUAAAAUAAACUCAACAUUUUUAUCUUCAUUUUGUCAGCAGAAUUGACUUUUUUUUUAAAGGUCUAGUUUGCUUAUAUUUAUGUGUACAUUUGUGUAUUUGCCACAAAGGUAAGGAAGUCAAAGAAGGAUAUCAGAAGAAGGUGUCAGAUCCCUGGAACUACCUGACUUGGAUGCUGGGAACCGAACUCAGGUUCCAAACACAUAAACAAAAACCCCAAAUGAAGCCAAAGCAAAGCGACUACAUUUAUUCUUUUUAAGGGUGGGGAGGAAAGGGUUUAUUUCAGCUUACAGGUCCCAGUCACAGGCCGCCAUGAAAAGAAGUGAAGGCGGGAAGCCAGGACAGGAAUCGAGAGGUCGGAACUGAAGUAGAAGCCAUGGAACAAUACUGCUUUCCAGCUUGUUCCCUAUGCCUCUUAGUGUCCCUCUCCAUCCUUCAACCUCUCCCACGUGCCCUGCCCUUUGCUUUCUUUCAAAUCCAUGGCCUCUUUUUCUUAAUUAUUGUUGUGUGCAUGUGUCAUGUAUGUUUGUGUGUGUAUAUGUGUAUUCCUAAAUACACAAUAAACCACCUGCUCAGUCUGUAAAGAGGCUUGUAUGUAUGUUUCCAGGACUGAGCAUCUGGCAUUGGAUAACCCGUCCCUGUGUUAUUCCCUGGGGAAGGCUAUUGCUCCCACUCUCAAGACUCCUUAGUUGCCUGGAAUUCUUUGACUAGGGCUGAAGCCUCAUAAGCUUUCUUCUUUGCACGUGAGCGCAUCUAUUGGUGUCGGCCUCUCUCAGGUUAUUUUUAGGCAGCCAUGUUGGUGAGCAGAACUUUCUUCUCUACAGCACUGUUCUAGUGCUAUUGAAUUGCUUUUGUUCUUGGCUGCAGGUUCUCUGAGCUCCUAGGCAUGCUUUAAAAGGCUGAGCUCAGAGGAGAGUUCCCUAAGCAACCCCAUUGAUUGCUUUAGUUUUCCUUCCAUCUCUAAUAAUUUUUAUUGUAACGUUAGAAUUUAAUUUUCUCUUCCUUCUGGGCCUAUCUGGAUUCUUUAGGAAAACAAAACAAAGACUCACUGGACCUGGGACCAAACACGCACGAUUCCUUUGAACUUUCAAAAAUUUGUUUUUCCAUACUGUGGGAUGCAUUGGCAAUAAAGCGCAACACUUGCGUCUUCUUAAUUGAAUUUCCUUCCUUCUCCCAAGCUUAGCCCUUCUUUGUGUUCUACAGCAGUCCUUUCUUGACUCUCAGAAUCAAGUUCCGAAUAAAUGCCUCCAAGCUGGCAGGCUUCGUACCUUUGUUUGUCUCUGCUCCUCUGCAGAGAUCCUGGGGAAUCCCAAGCCCUAGAUGCUUAGCAAGGGCCACACAGGGCUUUGCUGCGAUUAUAUAGGCAUGAGUAGGAAAUGCCAGCAGACCGAGUGGCUUCAGGAGAGGUACUCACUCUCCCGACACUGAGCUAAAGGGGACAAAUCACUCUCAUCCCAGUGACUGAGGCCAACAUUCCUCUUCUGUGGUCUUCGGUACCCAGAGGUAUUCUUCUGAGGGAUUGGAGGAGACAAAGUACCAAGACGGGAGAACUUGCAAACACAGAAAAACCAGCUUUGAAUUCUAUUGAUGAGAUUUCUAAGCCACACUCCAAGAGAAAGAUGAGUGUUACCAUCCUGGCGGCCGUGGAUUUUGUGGUCCUUAAAGGAACUGGUUUUCUUGGUACAUUCCUGUCAGCUAAACAAAUAAAGGUUCUUUGAAAAGUCUACUUUUAAAUGCUAAUGGAAAUAUUGAUUUUUUUUUCACCUCUGCUUUUUUUUUUUUUUAAAGCAGAAAAUUCCUAUUUACCUUCCUCUCUCCAUUCUGAGUUCCGCUCUCUUCCGUGUUAGUGUCCCAGGUAAGUGCCAAGCCAAGGUGACUAAGUGGGUGUCAGGCCACUUGAAGAAACAGACGGAAGACUUAACUAAUGGCAUAGGUCUUCUGAGUCGAUGGGCCCCGUCUCUUCUAAUGUCUAUCAAUUCACCACAGGAACCUGACAGAGUCAGACAUUAAGUCAAAUUUAAAAGCCCAAAGACAAAAGAUGGGGGAGAGGUCCAAUUUCAGAGUCAGGUAAAAACAUCAUAAUUCAGGGUAAAUCUUUAUUAUUGAUUUAUAGCCACAGACUGUUGUCUAAAGGCUUCCUCUUUAAAUUAAGAAUACUAAUGAUUUUGCAUCCUGAAAUAAUGCAAAAGGUUGUAGAUUUCAGAAAAGGGGAUUAAAUGUGUUACUCAACCGGAAAGUGCCAAUAAGUAGAUACCGGGUCUGUUUCCUCAGCAACUCGCCAGCAUCUUGAGAAGCCUUGCACUGGGAUCUGUGACGGAAUAACCUGUUUGCUGAGGCUCCUACAACAUCGGAACACUUUCUGAUAACCAGAUAGAUUGAGACUACAAGUUUUGCCCAAGUAGUUUGGAGACAGGAGGAGGCGACGCAGACCCCAUGCAAGGCAUGUUGGGAAGCCUGGGCCUGGGCAAACUGCUGCUCAUAUUUUAGAGAAAAUCAGUAGUUGCCAGGAAACCAAGGAAAAAGAAAGGAUACUCCCUAUCCUUCCCCUACAGGUGUUGCUAGGAAAUUGUCAUGGUGUGAUUUGCUACUGAGCGGUUUAAGUUACCUUGUGUCUCUGUGUCCCUGCUCAUGCAGCUCACAAACCAGGUCUGUGAUAUCCUAGAGUGGCAGGGUUUCUUGCCACCAUUACACAAAGAGUUUGUUUUGGGCCUGCAGACCCCUGCUGGGCGUCCUCUAAUGCAAUUAAGUUCUGGCACAGUAUACCCAGAGACAGGCUCAGAUCCCCAUCUGCCAAACUGCCCCCCUACCUUGAGAUACCAAACACUGUUGUUUUUAUCUGGACAUCUGACUGGCCAGACGUGGGAGUUCCCAUCAUUCCCUCAAAGAGUAGUUCAAAGCAUGGAGCAAAAGACAUUUACUGGUUUACUAUACAGAGCACAGAACAUUCUUAGAAAGAGAAAGACAGGAUGCAGGGUUGCAGAUAGUCUCUCUCCCUUAGGACUACCCCACGCUACCAAAGCUGAUUCUAGAGUUCAGCUCCUCACAGGUUCUUCAGCUCUUUGAUUUGGCUGUGACUGAAGCACAAAUGACCAGGCUGAAAUGAAGUUGGACAAGAUGGUUAUCUUGUCUGGUGCAAACAGACCUAAAUGGACAGCUCAGAUUCCUGCAGGCCUUCUGUGCGGCGUUCCUUCCUUGUGGGCAUGGGCCAAGACCCGCUUCUGAGAUAAAAGGUCUUAUCAUUGAAGAUUUGUGGCCAUCUUCUCGGCAGCCAGGCGGGAACCCAAAGGUAGAAAGGUGAGAUAAGAUUUAAGUGUUGAUACCCUGCCCCAAGAAGAGAAGAUUUAGCCAGAAUGGCUUGCCUUACUAAGGGAAAAUAUACCAGGAACUGUGGUCAAAAGCAAGGACCGCAUAAUAGUAUCUACCGUACCAUCACAGUUGCUCAGGGCCCGCAGGGGGACCUUUCCCUAUGCAUAUGACACAUGGACUUGUCAGGUGAGUGCUGUGCAGGUGAAAAGGCAUCCUCCAAGAAGUACAGCAAGGCUGCUAUGCGGAUGCACGCCCCUGCUCACUCUUGUGCAAUGACUUAACAGUCAUUUAGGCUGGCCUGAAUUUCCUUUGUGGUUCUUUCAGACCGCAGCCAGCUCAGAGAGACAGAGGCUGGGCUAUUCCCUCCUGAAAACAGCGUCUACUGUUCAAGCGGCAGACACUUUCAUCUCUCCCCAUCGACUCUGUGAGAUCUUUAACUUGCUGUUUCUUAGAGUUCUAAAGCCAAGGAGAAAUGAGGCCUCUGACAACUUCAAAGAGGUCUUUGGAAGUGUCUAUCCCCAGACCCUCACUGAAGCAUUAAGGUACACAGCACAGGCCCCCUCUGGUCUCUGUCCUUGAGACCUCUGGACCAGAGGACGGCAAGCAGACUGCAGCUGCCUCCAGUUCCAAAGUCUUUUGCUGUCUUCUGGCUCCUAAUGAAGCUGAGCAUUUUCUAUGGAAGUCUUCACCCUUUUAUCAACAAGACACUGGUAGAGGCUCUGGGAGUAUCUCACUGAAAGGAUGUCUGCUGAGCUGUAUGAGGCCUUGAGUUCAAGUUCCAGUACCAAAAAAAGUAAACAAAAUCCAAUCUAAGGAAACUCCGCUCAUGCACACCCUUUUGUUUUGGUAAAUACAGUGUACCCGAGACCAUGGUCAAUACAGAAACCAGAAAGAGGAGUUGCAGAGUCUCAGUCAGGUGUUGGAGCUGGUGUUUGGGCCCAGGGCUUUCAUUCAGGGGACAGCUUGCUGACUUUCACACAACUUUUAAUGAACCUAAACCAGUGGCUCUCCAUUUUCCUAACGCUGUGACCCUUUAAUACAGUUCCUCACACUGUGGUGACCCCAACCAUAAAAUCUUUAUCAUUGCUACUCUGUAACUGUAACUUUGCUACUGUUAUGAAUUGCAAUGCAAAUAUCUGGUGUUCAGGACAUCUGAUAAUGUGACACCUAAGAAAAGGUCAGUUGACCUCCCAAAGGGGUCAUGACCUAUAGGUUGAGAGCCACACUGGUCUAAAUACUGUUGGCCUUGGGAGUGUCCAGUUGAAGUUUGAAAACUAUAGAUUAGUGGUUCUUGGCCUGGCUGUGCUCCAGACACAUGGGGUUCAUUAAAGGGAUGGCUGGGAGAUGCUCAGCGGAAAGGUGCUUGCUGCUGGACCCCAGGACCUCUGCUUGAUACCCGGGAGUCACAGAGUGAGAGGAGACAACUGGCCUUCUCCCCAGUUAUCCUCUGACCUCCACACAUGCAUCAUGGGGUGUCCAUGUGUGAGACUGCUCUCUUGCGUGCGCAUCCACAUACACAGAUAAAAAGAAAGACUGUAGUUAAAAAAUGAAAAAAGAAAGAAGGAAGAGUUGAGAAUAGUGAAUACACAUGGUUUUUUAAGAAACAAGCUAGACAAAUUUGUAGUGAACGACUGCUUCCUCCCCUCUCUGCCUUGGAUUAUCUAGUCUCCAAAUUCUGCUCUACAACUGAAAACUACAUAGAUGCCAAUGUUUGCCUCAUAGUUUCUGUGGUGUUUUGUGUGUUUUUAACGAGUUAUCAAGGUGAUUCUAUUGCCCUGGCAGAUCAUGAAAAUGCGGUAGAAGGGUCAGGAUGCCCCCCUGCAGUGGAUAUACUUCAUGCCGCAUGGACUGGCGCUCUGAGUACCACUUCAGGGUUAGAAACCCCUUCCUGUGCUUGGGAGUGUGAGGGGAGGCUUUGCUUUGCAGAUGGUGUUUGAUAUAACAAGGUCUGACUCCCCAGGCUUUGACUUUACAGGGGUGCCAAAUCAGGAGCCAUUCAGUUGACCCUCGGUCCCCUUUUUCGUUCUUUCAAUGCUGGAGACCAAGUCUGAGCCCUUGCAUAUACUAGGCUCCUUUUCUCCUACCAGACUGCAUCCUAGACUCGAUACUUCUAACUUUGAAUUUUUCUUCUUGCGCAGGCUAGGAUGUCCUCUGCAAUACCCUUGGGAUGCUUAAGCAUUGCGGUCGUUGAACAUUUGCAGCACAUCUCAGCUCCUGGUCAGCUAUUCAGUCAAUAGGAGGACGAACUGGCUAAAUAUCAUACACUGCAGUAUUCCGUCAUCAGCAAAUUCUGCAGAUCCUCCAAUAUUUUAAAAGAAGAUAUGAGAGAUCUACCAGAACCUGAAUACUUCAAGGGAGGCUGAUUCCUACACGUCUGGCAGACUCUCCCACCCACCAAAUAUGGACAAAAAGCACCAUGGUGAUGAGCAUCACUUUGACUCUCCUGUGACUGCAGUGAAAUAAACCUUUGUCCUGAGCUAACACUGACCCAGGAGUGAAAGAACUGAGACUCGUGUCAAUGUAUUGAGCCUGGCAUCCAACAAUGCUGUCGCCCUCACUCUGUCUCAGCUUCCUAAUA